rnacentral:rRNA from 1 species
GACGAACGCUGGCGGCGUGCUUAACACAUGCAAGUCGAACGGAAAGGCCCUGUUUUGGUGGGGUGCUCGAGUGGCGAAGGGGUGAGUAACACGUGAGUAACCGGCCCGUGACUUUGGGAUAACUUCAGGAAACUGGGGCUAAUACCGGAUACGACCUCCUGCUGCAUGGUGGGGGUUGGAAAGUUUUGGCGGUUGGGGAUGGACUCGCGGCUUAUCAGCUUGUUGGUGGGGUAGCGGCUUACCAAGCCUCUGACGGUCAGCCGGCCUGAGAGGGUGACCGGCCAGGUUGGGACGGGAGAAGGGCCCCAGCUCCAGCGGGGGGAGGUGGGGGGGGAUUUUGCACAGUGGGCGGAAGCUGGUUGCGGCACCGCCGCGUCCGGGAUCACGGCCUCAGGGUUGUAACCCGCUUCCGCCUGUGAGGAAGCGUGCGUGACGGUAAUGGGUAAAGAAGCACCGGCUAACUACGUG